rnacentral:rRNA from 1 species
UUUAUGGAGAGUUUGAUCCUGGCUCAGGAUGAACGCUGGCGGCGUGCCUAAUACAUGCAAGUCGAGCGAACGGACGAGAAGCUUGCUUCUCUGAUGUUAGCGGCGGACGGGUGAGUAACACGUGGAUAACCUACCUAUAAGACUGGGAUAACUUCGGGAAACCGGAGCUAAUACCGGAUAAUAUUUUGAACCGCAUGGUUCAAAAGUGAAAGACGGUCUUGCUGUCACUUAUAGAUGGAUCCGCGCUGCAUUAGCUAGUUGGCAAGGUAACGGCUUACCAAGGCAACGAUGCAUAGCCGACCUGAGAGGGUGAUCGGCCACACUGGAACUGAGACACGGUUCAGACUCCUACGGGAGGCAGCAGUAGGGAAUCUUCCGCAAUGGGCGAAAGCCUGACGGAGCAACGCCGCGUGAGUGAUGAAGGUCUUCGGAUCGUAAAACUCUGUUAUUAGGGAAGAACAUAUGUGUAAGUAACUGUGCACAUCUUGACGGUACCUAAUCAGAAAGCCACGGCUAACUACGUGCCAGCAGCCGCGGUAAUACGUAGGUGGCAAGCGUUAUCCGGAAUUAUUGGGCGUAAAGCGCGCAUAGGCGGUUUUUUAAGUCUGAUGUGAAAGCCCACGGCUCAACCGUGGAGGGUCAUUGGAAACUGGAAAACUUGAGUGCAGAAGAGGAAAGUGGAAUUCCAUGUGUAGCGGUGAAAUGCGCAGAGAUAUGGAGGAACACCAGUGGCGAAGGCGACUUUCUGGUCUGUAACUGACGCUGAUGUGCGAAAGCGUGGGGAUCAAACAGGAUUAGAUACCCUGGUAGUCCACGCCGUAAACGAUGAGUGCUAAGUGUUAGGGGGUUUCCGCCCCUUAGUGCUGCAGCUAACGCAUUAAGCACUCCGCCUGGGGAGUACGACCGCAAGGUUGAAACUCAAAGGAAUUGACGGGGACCCGCACAAGCGGUGGAGCAUGUGGUUUAAUUCGAAGCAACGCGAAGAACCUUACCAAAUCUUGACAUCCUUUGACAACUCUAGAGAUAGAGCUUUCCCCUUCGGGGGACAAAGUGACAGGUGGUGCAUGGUUGUCGUCAGCUCGUGUCGUGAGAUGUUGGGUUAAGUCCCGCAACGAGCGCAACCCUUAAGCUUAGUUGCCAUCAUUAAGUUGGGCACUCUAAGUUGACUGCCGGUGACAAACCGGAGGAAGGUGGGGAUGACGUCAAAUCAUCAUGCCCCUUAUGAUUUGGGCUACACACGUGCUACAAUGGACAAUACAAAGGGCAGCGAAACCGCGAGGUCAAGCAAAUCCCAUAAAGUUGUUCUCAGUUCGGAUUGUAGUCUGCAACUCGACUACAUGAAGCUGGAAUCGCUAGUAAUCGUAGAUCAGCAUGCUACGGUGAAUACGUUCCCGGGUCUUGUACACACCGCCCGUCACACCACGAGAGUUUGUAACACCCGAAGCCGGUGGAGUAACCUUUUAGGAGCUAGCCGUCGAAGGUGGGACAAAUGAUUGGGGUGAAGUCGUAACAAGGUAGCCGUAUCGGAAGGUGCGGCUGGAUCACCUCCUUU